rnacentral:lncRNA from 1 species
AUGAAUCCACGGUUCAUGAAUACUUCCUAUAUUUAUUCCCACCGGGCGUGCCAUUUUGUCUGCCACCACGAAUGACAUACCUCGCACGGUUGAUCUUAUUUUGAUUUUUACCGUGGGGUAGUAUUCAUGAUUCAAAUUAAUAUUUGAAUAUGUAUGAGAAUCAGGUUUUGUGGAUUCAUGGCUUCCAAUAAACACAAGCAUUUAUUGUUAAUUACCCCUACAAAGUGUUAGGGCACUUUCGAUUAAGAGACCUUUGUAAUGCUGUAAAAGAUGAAUUUUAUAACAUAAUUCAGUACGACGGUUGAUUGAAUUUGAUUCUGAACCAAGAUAUCAAAGCAUAUAAUCAAAUUGAUUUGAUUGGGCUUCAUAUGUUUCAGUGCUCAACAAUAUUGUUCACCCUAAGGUGAAAGGUUGGUUAAAUCCCCUGUAUAUACACUGGGAUUUAAUCAGAUUUGAUUCAAAUUAAACUCUAAUUAAAUGAAUUAGAGUUUGAUUUAGUUAAUCGAACUUUAAAUAUAUGUGAUAAAGUCCAAUGGGAUUUGAUUUAAGCUUUCAUCCUAGAUGUAUAUGUUAGGAUUAACUCAAAUAUUUUGGAUUAGACUCUAAUUUUAUAUCUUAAAGUCUAGUAUAAUUAAGCUCUAUGCUUAUAUGUUUGAGCUUAAUUAAGUUCACCAUAAGGCCAAAUAUUAACUAAAUCCUAAUUAUAUAUAUUAGGAUUAGUCAAAAUUUGAUUAAACUCUAAGUGUAUGUAUU